AAGCAAUCGUCAUCGAUGGUGAAGAUGUAUUUCUUCUUAGAAACCAAGAACCCGAAGCACCGACAGGCGGAGUCCUUGUAAGAGAUACAAUUGGCCUUAGGUCCAAGGACCCGAUUCACAUCGUUCCUGUUAUAAAGCUUGUAAUCAAAGCCAUCAGGAACCCGGAUUGUCUUGCUGGGAUCUCCAUCCUGGACGAUAAUUAGGUGGUAAGGCUGGAAGAAUGGCCUCCACAUCUCCAA
rnacentral:misc_RNA from 1 species